rnacentral:rRNA from 1 species
GACGAACGCUGGCGGCGUGCCUAAUACAUGCAAGUCGAGCGGACGAAUCGAAAGCUUGCUUUUGAUUCGUUAGCGGCGGACGGGUGAGUAACACGUGGGCAACCUGCCCUGUAGACGGGGAUAACACCGAGAAAUCGGUGCUAAUACCGGAUAACACGAAAUGUCGCAUGACGUUUCGUUGUAAGACGGCGCAAGCUGUCGCUACAGGAUGGGCCCGCGGCGCAUUAGCUAGUUGGUGAGGUAACGGCUCACCAAGGCGACGAUGCGUAGCCGACCUGAGAGGGUGAUCAGCCACACUGGGACUGAGACACGGCCCAGACUCCUACGGGAGGCAGCGGUAGGGAAUCUUCCGCAAUGGACGAAAGUCUGACGGAGCAACGCCGCGUGAGCGAAGAAGGCCUUCGGGUCGUAAAGCUCUGUUGUUAGGGAAGAACAAGUAACGCAGUAACUGGCGUUACCGUGACGGUACCUAACGAGAAAGCCACGGCUAACUACGUG